rnacentral:rRNA from 1 species
UACGGGGGGAGCAAGCGUUGUUCGGAUUUACUGGGCGUAAAGGGCGCGUAGGCGGUCAGCACAAGUCAGUUGUGAAAUCUCCGGGCUUAACUCGGAAAGGUCAACUGAUACUGUGCGACUAGAGUGCAGAAGGGGCAACUGGAAUUCUCGGUGUAGCGGUGAAAUGCGUAGAUAUCGAGAGGAACACCUGCGGCGAAGGCGGGUUGCUUGGCUGACACUGACGCUGAUGCGCGAAAGCCAGGGGAGCGAACGGG